rnacentral:rRNA from 1 species
UACGGAGGGGGUUAGCGUUGUUCGGAAUGACUGGGCGUAAAGCGCGCGUAGGCGGGCUGGCAAGUUGGGGGUGAAAUCCCGGGGCUCAACCCCGGAAUGGCCUUCAAAACUCCCAGCCUAGAGUUCGAGAGAGGUGAGUGGAAUUCCGAGUGUAGAGGUGAAAUUCGUAGAUAUUCGGAGGAACACCAGUGGCGAAGGCGGCUCACUGGCUCGACACUGACGCUGAGGUGCGAAAGCGUGGGGAGCAAACAGG